UGGGAUUUCAUCUUGAGAAUUAGUUUCAUGAUAUAGUAAUAACCAUAAAAGUGUCCAUAUAAUACCAAUUAUACCAAAUAAAUAAAAUCCUGUUUGCCAUGACAAAUGAGGACACAACUAAAAAAUAAUAUUAUAAUAAACAUUUAUAUAUGAUAUAAUAAUAUAAUAUAAUAUACAUUUUAAACUUACAAUAGAUGCAACAACUUGUCCAACAGAGCCAGCUGCUACAAGAUAUCCAAAUGCUCUAGAUCGUUCCUCUACAGGUACAUUAUGUGCAAAUAAGUGAAAAAUAACUGGUAAACCUAAUAACAAUUAGAGAAAAAUAUAUGAUUUAUAAAAUUAA